GCACCCUUAGCUCAGAUGGUUAGAGCGACCCGUUUACACCGGGUAGGCCGGGAGUUCGAAUCUCUCAGGGUGCACCA
rnacentral:tRNA from 1 species